rnacentral:rRNA from 1 species
GACGAACGCUGGCGGCGUGCUUAACACAUGCAAGUCGAGCGGAAAGGCCACUUCGGUGGUACUCGAGCGGCGAACGGGUGAGUAACACGUGAGUAAUCUGCCCCUGGCUUUGGGAUAGCCACCGGAAACGGUGGUUAAUACCGGAUACGACCACUUCUCGCAUGGGAUGGUGGUGGAAAGUUUUUUCGGCCAGGGAUGUGCUCGCGGCCUAUCAGCUUGAUGGUGAGGUAAUGGCUCACCAUGGCUUCGACGGGUAGCCGGCCUGAGAGGGUGACCGGUCACACUGGGACUGAGACACGGCCCAGACUCCUACGGGAGGCAGCAGUGGGGAAUAUUGGACAAUGGGCGGAAGCCUGAUCCAGCAACGCCGCGUGAGGGAUGACGGCCUACGGGUUGUAAACCUCUUUCAGCAGGGACGAAGCGCAAGUGACGGUACCUGCAGAAGAAGCACCGGCCAACUACGUGCCAGCAGCCGCGGUAA